AUGACUUCGUCGCCGCUUAAUAAUAAAUCUAAAAGGAAGUUUGACAACAAAGAUAUACCUUUCAACAAAAGAAAUAAAGGAGCAAGUCUAAUUGCUCAAAGUAUAUAUGAGUUAGGAAAGAAUGUUGGGACUAUGAUUGAAAAAACAUCUGAAAUAUUGGCUGAAGCUGCAAAUCGCUUAGGAGUUGGUAAAUAUGUGUUUGAUGAUUCAAGAAAUAUCAUGAAUGAGUUGAAGAAAAUGGAGCUAACAGAACAAGAGCGAUUUGUUGCCGUUGACAAAAUAUUAUAUGUGCCACAUCGUUUACACAUAUUUUAG